GUCGAGUGCGUAGCUCUCUGUAGCAAUACAGGGAAUGGGCGCUUUGCGCCCGGGUGCGUAAUUGAGAUUGGGCAAUCUGCCCUUGGAUGGGGAAUAACCCCGCGAAAGCGGGGCUAAUACCGCAUAACACUCCUGGAACCGUGGCUCCGGAAAUCAAAGCCGUAAGGCGUCCGAGGUGGAGCCCGCGCCCGAUUAGCUUGUUGGCGAGGUAUUUGCUCACCAAGGCCUCGAUCGGUAGCCGGUCUGAGAGGAUGGCUUUUCCGACACUGGAACUGAGAUUGAGAUGUCCAGACUCCUUUUGGAGGCAGCAGUGGGGAAUCUUGCGCAAUGGGCGAAAGCCUGUUUCAGCGUUUCCGCGUGGGGGAUGAAGCCUCUCGGAGUGUAAACCCCCUCCGACCGGGUUUAAUGCCUCGCAAGAGGAGUGUUUGUACCGGUAUAAGAAGCCCCGGCUAAUUGAGAUUUGCCAGCAGCCGCGGUAAGUUUUAGGGGGCCAGCGUUGCUCGGAAUAACUGGGCGUAAAGGGUCUGUAGGCGGUGCGGCAAGUCGGGAGUGAAACUCCUGGGCUUAACCCAGGGACUGCUUCCGAAACUGCCGUGCUCGAGUGCGAGAGAGGUGAGUGGAAUUGCAGGUGUAGCGGUGAAAUGCGUAGAUAUCUGCAGGAACACCCGUGGCGAAAGCGGCUCACUGGAUCGCAACUGUUUCUGAGAGUUUAAAGCUAGGGGAGCAAACAGGAUUAGAUACCCUGGUAGUCCUAGCCCUAAA
rnacentral:rRNA from 1 species